AGGGUUUGAUCCUGGCUCAGAAUGAACGUUGGCGGCGUGGAUUAGGCAUGCAAGUCGAGCGAGAAGUUUACUUCGGUAAAUGGACAGCGGCGAAAGGGACAGUAAUGUGUAGGUACCUACCCCCCGAUCUGGGAUAGCUGCGGGAAACUGCAGGUAAUACCGGAUAAUGUCUUCGGACCAAAGGUGUGAUUCCGUCAGGGGAGGGGCCUGCAUCCUAUUAGCUUGUUGGUGAGGUAAUGGCUCACCAAGGCAACGAUGGGUAGCGGGUGUGAGAGCAUGACCCGCGUCAUUGGGACUGAGACACUGCCCAGACAUCUACGGAUGGCUGCAGUCGAGAAUCUUCGGCAAUGGGCGAAAGCCUGACCGAGCGACGCCGCGUGCGGGAUGAAGGCCCUCGGGUUGUAAACCGCUGUCGUUGGGGAGGAAAUGCAAAAGGGUUAUCCCUUCUGUUUGACCGAUCCAAGGAGGAAGUACGGGCUAAGUUCGUGCCAGCAGCCGCGGUAAGACGAACCGUACGAACGUUAUUCGGAAUUACUGGGCUUAAAGGGUGCGUAGGCUGCACGGAAAGUUGGGUGUGAAAGCCCUCAGCUCAACUGAGGAAUUGCAUCCAAAACUGCCGUGCUUGAGGGAGACAGAGGUGAGCGGAACUCAAGGUGGAGCGGUGAAAUGCGUUGAUAUCUUGAGGAACACCGGUGGCGAAAGCGGCUCACUGGGUCUCUUCU
rnacentral:rRNA from 1 species